GUGUGUUCACAAAAAUAUCUUACCCCUGGCUGCUGAGAGCCGAGCGCCCCCCUUUUGGUGGAUCCCCCUCUGGAGCUCAGUCUCUUCCACGACUCAGAGAAACGCCCCCUGGUGGUGGGACGCCCGGGCCCUGAUGCCCCAGAUGCCACGGAUGCAUCAUCACGUGUGGAGAACGGCUGCUCCCUGCGCUGCUCCUUCCGCUCAGCCCACUUCUUCUUGGAAGCCAUCGGUGUUCAAAUGUGGUGAAGACGAUGUGACAGAAAUUUCCUGUACCGAACUAUGAAGCCGUCUCGCCAUCUAAUUGCUGGAUUUAGAUCAACGCACAGGAUGGUCCAAAAGAGUGAGCUUAUUCCCUUGGAAGAAGUCCUUUGUCAAGCAGCCAUUGUGAACUGUGGCAUUGUCCUGCUGGAAAAUCCAGUCAUUACUACAUGGAUGAAGACCUUCAGUCAUAAGACAUGCCCCUGCAACACCUCCACAUAGCCAACUACCGUUUGACGCUCCUGCACAACCAGAAGCUCCACCGUGCUGUGUGAAAAACAUCUAAGGUGGGAUCAGCUUGUAAUGUCAGUAACAUUGGAAGCAAUCAGGAUAGUUACGGUUAUAUUUUUUUCUCAUCAGAGAAUAAAACUUUCCUCCACCUUUCAAUGUCCCAUUUUUUUUUAUCUCAUGGGAAUUCCAAACGGGCAUUUUUGUGGCUUUGAAGACAUUUUUUUUUGUUCUUGAAACCAUU